ACUUCUGUCAAAUGCCAAGUAAUUAAAUGUGAACUGAAUCUGGCAUCAAUCCCUGGGACAACCCACGACCCUCCAUACAAAAACAUGUUUUUACCUGGAGAAAUAGUGAGAGUCACAUGUGGGGAGAAUCACUGGAUUCUGGACACGCAAACAACGGUGGCUGAUGUUACAUGUGGAAUCAAUGGAGACUGGAAUACGGAUCCGAUAUGCCAAGAGGUUACAUGCCCACGAUACAUACAAGAAGCACAUUUGUAUCGUUCUGUUAACGCUUGGGGCAAAAAUGUGACAACAACUACGAUCCUGCAAGUUCAGACAGCAUAGCGACGUGUACCAGAGACGGAUGGAUACCGAAACCAUUUUGUCGUGGGAGACAGUGUGAAAACCCUAACGUUGAAUACUCCAGAAUUACCAGCAGUAGUAGAAGAAAUUACUACGACGGUGACCGACUCACAUAUGAAUGUUUGGGAGGGAAUCAGGAAUCUGUUACCAUCACCUGUGUGCAAG